AGUUUUGUAAUUAUUAACAGGUAUUUGCCAGGUCCUAAUUGCUGAAUAUAAUGAAUUGGAACUAGAUGCGAAAAUAGAGCAGGACCUCUCCCCUUGAUGAGUUUUUAUUCCAGCCAUAUAAUUCUCAAUAAAACUUUUCCUAGGCUGGGUAGCAAAGAGCACCUUUGGUUACCUGAAUGGACAGGUACAGGGGAAAUUAUUUGGGGGAGGGAAAAAGGAGAGAAAAGCAAGGAGAGAGAGAGUGUGUGUAAGAGAAAGCGAAGAAGCCACUCUUGGGAAAAGCUUUCCAUAAAGGAGCUAAACCCACCUGAAAUUCCUACCCACGGACACCCCUUCUCACUUCAAACUCACAUCCUCACUCAAAAUGAGAAAAUUAGAAAAGGAGGAUGGAGGACGAGCACACCAAAAAGGGAUAAAAUGAGAGAAAAGGGGAGGAAAAAAAACCUACCUGCGAAGUCUUGUUUGUAGUUUUGGCCAGAAAUGGUGAGAAGAAAAAGCAUGAAGAAGCCGCGAAGUGUGGGGGAGAAAAAGGUGGAAGCGAAGAAACAGCUCCCGGAGCAAACUGUACAAAAACCUCGCCAAGAGUGUCGGGAGGCAGGACCGUUAUUCCUGCGGAGCAGGAGAGAGACGAGAGACCCUGAAACACGCGCCACCUAUCUUUGUGGGGAGGGAUAAUUGAAGCGCCCUGAGCGUGAGCAUCAUGUGAAAACGUGAUCGCCAAGUUUCUCUCUGGGAAAGGAUCUGGGAUAGAUUAUACCUUGAAGUCUCCGCAAACGCUUUAGUGGAAGAAAUGAAAUUCCACCUCCCUCCCUUCCUCUCUCCCUCCCUUUCGCCUUCGCCUCCCUCCCCCCCUCCCCCCCCCCCCCCCCCCCCCCCCGCCCGUCAAGCCUUUGGCAUCAUUAUCCUCAUCACUAAAUCCUACAGAGUACAGGGCGGAAAACCGUGCACACCAUUCACAGAACUGGAGAACUCUAUGGGGCGAAAGUUAAAGGGAAAGAUCCCGGGUCCUCAAAUCUCAAAUCCAGAUCGUCUCUUCUUGUACAGAUAUCUCUAAUGAUCAGAUUUGAGAUGCACAUCAAAUUGUGUGGAUAUCUCAGCACAGCUUCUGGAACAAAAUUAUCUGCCCUUUCUCUUAUUAUUAUUAUUUUUUUCUUUUUAGGUACCAGAGCCAGAAAAAAAAAAUGCAUGAGAGCUGCAUCUUAGGGCAUGUGUGUUAGGGUGUGUGUGUGAUGAAUUUUUGGAUUGGAUCCUAAUAUUAAAAAGUAGUUUGGCAUUUUAAUAAAGGGUCUCUAAGUAAAUUAACAUAGAACA